rnacentral:misc_RNA from 1 species
GAUGAAGAACGUAGCGAAAUGCGAUAAGUAAUGUGAAUUGCAGAGUUCAGUGAAUCAUCGAAUCUUUGAACGCACAUUGCGCCCGCCAGUAUUCUGGCGGGCAUGCCUGUCCGAGCGUCAUUUCAACCCUCAAGCCCCCGGGCUUGGUGUUGGGGAUCGGCGAGCCUCCGCGCCCGCCGUCCCCUAAAUCUAGUGGCGGUCUCGCUGUAGCUUCCUCUGCGUAGUAGCACACCUCGCACUGGGAAACAGCGCGGCCACGCCGUUAAACCCCCAACUUCUGAACGUUUGACCUCGGAUCAGGUAGGAAUACCCGCUGAACUUAAGCAUAUCAAUAAGCGGAGGA